rnacentral:rRNA from 1 species
ACCUGAUCCCUUGCCGAACUCAGUAGUGAAACCGCUUAGCGCCGAUGGUAGUGUGGGGUCUCCCCAUGCGAGAGUAGGUCAUCGUCAGGC